CCGGUCCGCACUGGUGUGAUGGAUUCCUACCUUCUGAAUAACCAGCAUGUCAUUAAUUUGGUGCGCUGGGGAAGCAGGACUGUUACCUUGAAAAAAUUAGAGUGCUUAAAGCAGGCUAGUGCCUGAAUACAUUAGCAUGGAAUAAUGAAAUAGGACGGCAUGGUUCUAUUUUGUUGGUUUCUAGGAUCACCGUAAUGAUUAAUAGGGAUAGUUGGGGGCAUUAGUAUUCAAUUGUCAGAGGUGAAAUUCUUGGAUUUAUUGAAGACUAACUUCUGCGAAAGCAUUUGCCAAGGAUGUUUUCAUUAAUCAAGAACGAAAGUUAGGGGAUCGAAGACGAUCAGAUACCGUCGUAGUCUUAACCAUAAACUAUGCCGACUAGGGAUCGGACGAUGUUAAUUUUUUAAUGACUCGUUCGGCGCCUUACG
rnacentral:rRNA from 1 species